rnacentral:rRNA from 1 species
CAUAGGUUAAUGAGGCGAACCGGGGGAACUGAAACAUCUAAGUACCCCGAGGAAAAGAAAUCAACCGAGAUUCCCCCAGUAGCGGCGAGCGAACGGGGAGCAGCCCAGAGCCUGAAUCAGUGUGUGUGUUAGUGGAAGCGUCUGGAAAGGCGCGCGAUACAGGGUGACAGCCCCGUACACAAAAAUGCACAUGCUGUGAGCUCGAUGAGUAGGGCGGGACACGUGGUAUCCUGUCUGAAUAUGGGGGGACCAUCCUCCAAGGCUAAAUACUCCUGACUGACCGAUAGUGAACCAGUACCGUGAGGGAAAGGCGAAAAGAACCCCGGCGAGGGGAGUGAAAAAGAACCUGAAACCGUGUACGUACAAGCAGUGGGAGCACGCUUCGGCGUGUGACUGCGUACCUUUUGUAUAAUGGGUCAGCGACUUAUAUUCUGUAGCAAGGUUAACCGAAUAGGGGAGCCGAAGGGAAACCGAGUCUUAACUGGGCGUUAAGUUGCAGGGUAUAGACCCGAAACCCGGUGAUCUAGCCAUGGGCAGGUUGAAGGUUGGGUAACACUAACUGGAGGACCGAACCGACUAAUGUUGAAAAAUUAGCGGAUGACUUGUGGCUGGGGGUGAAAGGCCAAUCAAACCGGGAGAUAGCUGGUUCUCCCCGAAAGCUAUUUAGGUAGCGCCUCGUGAAUUCAUCUCCGGGGGUAGAGCACUGUUUCGGCAAGGGGGUCAUCCCGACUUACCAACCCGAUGCAAACUGCGAAUACCGGAGAAUGUUAUCACGGGAGACACACGGCGGGUGCUAACGUCCGUCGUGAAGAGGGAAACAACCCAGACCGCCAGCUAAGGUCCCAAAGUCAUGGUUAAGUGGGAAACGAUGUGGGAAGGCCCAGACAGCCAGGAUGUUGGCUUAGAAGCAGCCAUCAUUUAAAGAAAGCGUAAUAGCUCACUGGUCGAGUCGGCCUGCGCGGAAGAUGUAACGGGGCUAAACCAUGCACCGAAGCUGCGGCAGCGACGCUUAUGCGUUGUUGGGUAGGGGAGCGUUCUGUAAGCCUGUGAAGGUGUGCUGUGAGGCAUGCUGGAGGUAUCAGAAGUGCGAAUGCUGACAUAAGUAACGAUAAAGCGGGUGAAAAGCCCGCUCGCCGGAAGACCAAGGGUUCCUGUCCAACGUUAAUCGGGGCAGGGUGAGUCGACCCCUAAGGCGAGGCCGAAAGGCGUAGUCGAUGGGAAACAGGUUAAUAUUCCUGUACUUGGUGUUACUGCGAAGGGGGGACGGAGAAGGCUAUGUUGGCCGGGCGACGGUUGUCCCGGUUUAAGCGUGUAGGCUGGUUUUCCAGGCAAAUCCGGAAAAUCAAGGCUGAGGCGUGAUGACGAGGCACUACGGUGCUGAAGCAACAAAUGCCCUGCUUCCAGGAAAAGCCUCUAAGCAUCAGGUAACAUCAAAUCGUACCCCAAACCGACACAGGUGGUCAGGUAGAGAAUACCAAGGCGCUUGAGAGAACUCGGGUGAAGGAACUAGGCAAAAUGGUGCCGUAACUUCGGGAGAAGGCACGCUGAUAUGUAGGUGAGGUCCCUCGCGGAUGGAGCUGAAAUCAGUCGAAGAUACCAGCUGGCUGCAACUGUUUAUUAAAAACACAGCACUGUGCAAACACGAAAGUGGACGUAUACGGUGUGACGCCUGCCCGGUGCCGGAAGGUUAAUUGAUGGGGUUAGCGGUAACGCGAAGCUCUUGAUCGAAGCCCCGGUAAACGGCGGCCGUAACUAUAACGGUCCUAAGGUAGCGAAAUUCCUUGUCGGGUAAGUUCCGACCUGCACGAAUGGCGUAAUGAUGGCCAGGCUGUCUCCACCCGAGACUCAGUGAAAUUGAACUCGCUGUGAAGAUGCAGUGUACCCGCGGCAAGACGGAAAGACCCCGUGAACCUUUACUAUAGCUUGACACUGAACAUUGAGCCUUGAUGUGUAGGAUAGGUGGGAGGCUUUGAAGUGUGGACGCCAGUCUGCAUGGAGCCGACCUUGAAAUACCACCCUUUAAUGUUUGAUGUUCUAACGUUGACCCGUAAUCCGGGUUGCGGACAGUGUCUGGUGGGUAGUUUGACUGGGGCGGUCUCCUCCUAAAGAGUAACGGAGGAGCACGAAGGUUGGCUAAUCCUGGUCGGACAUCAGGAGGUUAGUGCAAUGGCAUAAGCCAGCUUGACUGCGAGCGUGACGGCGCGAGCAGGUGCGAAAGCAGGUCAUAGUGAUCCGGUGGUUCUGAAUGGAAGGGCCAUCGCUCAACGGAUAAAAGGUACUCCGGGGAUAACAGGCUGAUACCGCCCAAGAGUUCAUAUCGACGGCGGUGUUUGGCACCUCGAUGUCGGCUCAUCACAUCCUGGGGCUGAAGUAGGUCCCAAGGGUAUGGCUGUUCGCCAUUUAAAGUGGUACGCGAGCUGGGUUUAGAACGUCGUGAGACAGUUCGGUCCCUAUCUGCCGUGGGCGCUGGAGAACUGAGGGGGGCUGCUCCUAGUACGAGAGGACCGGAGUGGACGCAUCACUGGUGUUCGGGUUGUCAUGCCAAUGGCACUGCCCGGUAGCUAAAUGCGGAAGAGAUAAGUGCUGAAAGCAUCUAAGCACGAAACUUGCC